AUACGUAGGUGACAAGCGUUAUCCGGAUUUACUGGGUGUAAAGGGCGUGUAGGCGGUUUAGCAAGUCAGAAGUGAAAUUCCCGGGCUUAACUUGGGCGCUGCUUCUGAAACUGCUUUACUUGAGUGCUGGAGAGGAUAGUGGAAUUCCUAGUGUAGCGGUAAAAUGCGCAGAUAUUAGGAGGAACACCGGUGGCGAAGGCGGCUAUCUGGACAGUAACUGACGCUGAGGCGCGAAAGCACGGGGAGCAAACAGGAUUAGAUGCCCUGGUAGUCCGUGCCGUAAACGAUGAAUACUAGGUGUAGGGGGUAUCGACUCCCUCUGUGCCGCAGUUAACACAUUAAGUAUUCCACCUGGGGAGUACGGCCGCAAGGUUGAAACUCAAAUGAAUUGACGGGG
rnacentral:rRNA from 1 species